rnacentral:rRNA from 1 species
AUACGUAGGGGGCGAGCGUUGUCCGGAAUUAUUGGGCGUAAAGGGCGCGUAGGCGGCCCGGUAAGUCUGGAGUGAAAGUCCUGUUUUUAAGUUGGGGAUUGCUUUGGAUACUGUCGGGCUUGAGUGCUGCAGGGGUGAGUGGAAUUCCCAGUGUAGCGGUGAAAUGCGUAGAGAUUGGGAGGAACACCAGUGGCGAAGGCGACUUACUGGACUGUAACUGACGCUGAGGCGCGAAAGUGUGGGGAGCAAACAGGAUUAGAUACCCUGGUAGUCCACACUGUAAACGAUGAAUGCUAGGUGUAGGGGGUAUCGACCCCUUCUGUGCCGCAGUCAACACAAUAAGCAUUCCGCCUGGGGAGUACGGUCGCAAGACUGAAACUCAAAGGAAUUGACGGGG